rnacentral:RNase_P_RNA from 1 species
GAAGCUGGCCAGGCAGCCGCUGCCCGAGGAGUUUUCUCCUCGGGGAGAGGAAAGUCCGGGCUCCACAGGGCAGGAUGCCGGCUAACGGCCGGAGGCCGCGAGGCCAUGGAAAGUGUCGCGAAUGCGAUACUUCAGCGCAGACUCGCCUGCGGGCCGGUGUCUGGGCUACAGGGCUGCAGACACGGAGUAGCGCGACCAGGGUCGGAACUUGAGGCGUCAAAAGACGUCUUGAGGGCUGGCAGGCAACGUCAAAGCUGGGGUGCAACAGAGAGUAGACCGCCGAGGCGUGAGCCGACCCACGCUGGCAAGGGUGAAACGGUGCGCGUGACCGAAAGGUGCGCGGCGGCUCGCAGGUGCGGGCUGCGGGUAAGAGCCCACCGCGUCCGUGGUGACACGGACGGCACGGCAAACCCCAUCCGGAGCAAGGCCAAAUAGGGGGACGAGAGCGUGGCCCGCGCUGUUCCCGGGUAGGCCGCUGGAGCGGCGGGGCAACCCGUCGCCUAGAGGAAUGGCUGCCAAGGGGCUUAGCCCCCUCACAGAACCCGGCUUAUCGGCCAGCUUCCCUU